GCACAUUGUAUUAACUCAAGUUCCUAAAUUGAUUUAGAUCAAAGUGUUUGAGCUAACCUAGACCAUGGGAUUGGAUCAAUUUAGAUUGGAUCUUUAUCUAACUUAAAAUAGUUUCAAGUGGAGAAGGACUUUUCUGCACCCACCAAAAGCCAUGCCAAAAGUAAAUGCCGCCCCACCUCUUUUUAACGUGUGAAGUUGGAGAGUCCUUCUUCAUGAAGGCUC
rnacentral:lncRNA from 1 species